rnacentral:rRNA from 1 species
UGAGAUGUUGGGUUAAGUCCCGCAACGAGCGCAACCCUUAUCUUUAGUUGCUACCAUUCAGUUGAGAACUCUAAAGAGACUGCCGGUGAUAAACCGGAGGAAGGCGGGGACGACGUCAAGUCAUCAUGGCCCUUAUGGGAUGGGCUACACACGUGCUACAAUGGGAGGUACAAAGAGCAGCCAACUGGCGACAGUGCGCGAAUCUCAAAAAACCUCUCGUAGUCCGGAUUGGAGUCUGCAACUCGACUCCAUGAAGUCGGAAUCGCUAGUAAUCGCAAAUCAGAAUGUUGCGGUGAAUACGUUCCCGGGCCUUGUACACACCGCCCGU